AUUGAACGCUGGCGGCAGGCUUAACACAUGCAAGUCGAGCGGGGUGAUGGUGCUUGCACUAUCACUUAGCGGCGGACGGGUGAGUAAUGCUUAGGAAUCUGCCUAUUAGUGGGGGACAACAUCUCGAAAGGGAUGCUAAUACCGCAUACGUCCUACGGGAGAAAGCAGGGGAUCACUUGUGACCUUGCGCUAAUAGAUGAGCCUAAGUCGGAUUAGCUAGUUGGUGGGGUAAAGGCCUACCAAGGCGACGAUCUGUAGCGGGUCUGAGAGGAGGAUCCGCCACCCUGGGACUGAGACACGGCCCAGACUCCUAUGGGAGGCAGCAGUGGGGAAUAUUGGACAAUGGGGGGAACCCUGAUCCAGCCAUGCCGCGUGUGUGAAGAAGGCCUUAUGGUUGUAAAGCACUUUAAGCGAGGAGGAGGCUCUUUUGGUUAAUACCCAAGAUGAGUGGACGUUACUCGCAGAAUAAGCACCGGCUAACUCUGUGCCAGCAGCCGCGGUAA
rnacentral:rRNA from 1 species